rnacentral:rRNA from 1 species
GAUGAACGCUAGCGGGAGGCCUAACACAUGCAAGCCGAGCGGUAUUGUUUCUUCGGAAAUGAGAGAGCGGCGUACGGGUGCGUAACGCGUGUGCAACCUGCCUUUAUCUGGGGGAUAGCCUUUCGAAAGGAAGAUUAAUACUCCAUAAUAUAUUGAACGGCAUCGUUUAAUAUUGAAAGCUCCGGCGGAUAGAGAUGGGCACGCGCAAGAUUGGCUAGUUGGUGAGGUAACGGCUCACCAAGGCGAUGAUCUUUAGGGGGCCUGAGAGAGUGAUCCCCAACACUGGUACUGAGACACGGACCAGACGCCUACGGGAGGAAGCAGUGAGGAAUAUUGGGCAAUGGGUGCAAGCCUGAACCAGCCAUCCCGCGUGAAGGACGACUGCCCUAUGGGUUGUAAACUUCUCUUGUAUAGGGAUUAACCUACCCUCGUGAGGGUAGCUGAAGGUACUAUACGAAUAAGCACCGGCUAACUCCGUGCCAGCCGCCGCGGUAA